rnacentral:rRNA from 1 species
UACGUAGGGUGCAAGCGUUGUCCGGAAUUAUUGGGCGUAAAGAGCUCGUAGGCGGUCUGUUGCGUCGGCUGUGAAAACUCGGGGCUUAACCCCGAGCCUGCUUCUGAUACGGGCAGACUAGAGGUAUGCAGGGGAGAACGGAAUUCCUGGUGUAGCGGUGAAAUGCGUAGAGAUCGGCAGGAACACCCAGGGGGAAACCAGUCGACUGGGCAUCUACUGACGCUGAUGUGCGAGAGCGUGGGGAGCGAACCGG